UUAAGCGACUAAGCGUACACGGUGGAUGCCCUGGCAGUCAGAGGCGAUGAAGGACGUGCUAAUCUGCGAAAAGCGUCGGUAAGGUGAUAUGAACCGUUAUAACCGGCGAUGUCCGAAUGGGGAAACCCAGUGUGAUUCGUCACACUAUCGUUAACUGAAUACAUAGGUUAACGAGGCGAACCGGGGGAACUGAAACAUCUAAGUACCCCGAGGAAAAGAAAUCAACCGAGAUUCCCCAGUAGCGGCGAGCGAACGGGGAGCAGCCCAGAGUCUGAAUCAGCUUGUGUGUUAGUGGAACGGUCUGGAAAGUCCGACGGUACAGGGUGAUAGUCCCGUACACCAAAAUGCACAGGUUGUGAACUCGAAGAGUAGGGCGGGACACGUGGUAUCCUGUCUGAAUAUGGGGGGACCAUCCUCCAAGGCUAAAUACUCCUGACUGACCGAUAGUGAACCAGUACCGUGAGGGAAAGGCGAAAAGAACCCCGGCGAGGGGAGUGAAAAAGAACCUGAAACCGUGUACGUACAAGCAGUGGGAGCACCUUCGGGUGUGACUGCGUACCUUUUGUAUAAUGGGUCAGCGACUUAUAUUCUGUAGCAAGGUUAACCGUAUAGGGGAGCCGCAGGGAAACCGAGUCUUAACUGGGCGUUAAGUUGCAGGGUAUAGACCCGAAACCCGGUGAUCUAGCCAUGGGCAGGUUGAAGGUUGGGUAACACUAACUGGAGGACCGAACCGACUAAUGUUGAAAAAUUAGCGGAUGACUUGUGGCUGGGGGUGAAAGGCCAAUCAAACCGGGAGAUAGCUGGUUCUCCCCGAAAGCUAUUUAGGUAGCGCCUCGUGAACUCAUCUUCGGGGGUAGAGCACUGUUUCGGCUAGGGGGUCAUCCCGACUUACCAACCCGAUGCAAACUACGAAUACCGAAGAAUGUUAUCACGGGAGACACACGGCGGGUGCUAACGUCCGUCGUGAAGAGGGAAACAACCCAGACCGCCAGCUAAGGUCCCAAAGUCAUGGUUAAGUGGGAAACGAUGUGGGAAGGCACAGACAGCCAGGAUGUUGGCUUAGAAGCAGCCAUCAUUUAAAGAAAGCGUAAUAGCUCACUGGUCGAGUCGGCCUGCGCGGAAGAUGUAACGGGGCUAAACCAUGCACCGAAGCUGCGGCAGCGACACUAUGUGUUGUUGGGUAGGGGAGCGUUCUGUAAGCCUGCGAAGGUGUGCUGUGAGGCAUGCUGGAGGUAUCAGAAGUGCGAAUGCUGACAUAAGUAACGAUAAAGCGGGUGAAAAGCCCGCUCGCCGGAAGACCAAGGGUUCCUGUCCAACGUUAAUCGGGGCAGGGUGAGUCGACCCCUAAGGCGAGGCCGAAAGGCGUAGUCGAUGGGAAACAGGUUAAUAUUCCUGUACUUGGUGUUACUGCGAAGGGGGGACGGAGAAGGCUAUGUUAGCCGGGCGACGGUUGUCCCGGUUUAAGCAUGUAGGCUGAUUGUCCAGGCAAAUCCGGAUAAUCAAGGCUGAGGUGUGAUGACGAGGCACUACGGUGCUGAAGUAACAAAUGCCCUGCUUCCAGGAAAAGCCUCUAAGCAUCAGGUAACAUCAAAUCGUACCCCAAACCGACACAGGUGGUCAGGUAGAGAAUACCAAGGCGCUUGAGAGAACUCGGGUGAAGGAACUAGGCAAAAUGGUGCCGUAACUUCGGGAGAAGGCACGCUGGUGUGUAGGUGAAGUCCCUGCGGAUGGAGCUGAGACCAGUCGAAGAUACCAGCUGGCUGCAACUGUUUAUUAAAAACACAGCACUGUGCAAACACGAAAGUGGACGUAUACGGUGUGACGCCUGCCCGGUGCCGGAAGGUUAAUUGAUGGGGUUAUCCGUAAGGAGAAGCUCUUGAUCGAAGCCCCGGUAAACGGCGGCCGUAACUAUAACGGUCCUAAGGUAGCGAAAUUCCUUGUCGGGUAAGUUCCGACCUGCACGAAUGGCGUAAUGAUGGCCAGGCUGUCUCCACCCGAGACUCAGUGAAAUUGAACUCGCUGUGAAGAUGCAGUGUACCCGCGGCAAGACGGAAAGACCCCGUGAACCUUUACUAUAGCUUGACACUGAACAUUGAGCCUUGAUGUGUAGGAUAGGUGGGAGGCUUUGAAGCGUGGACGCCAGUCUGCGUGGAGCCAACCUUGAAAUACCACCCUUUAAUGUUUGAUGUUCUAACGUUGGCCCCUUACCGGGGUUGCGGACAGUGUCUGGUGGGUAGUUUGACUGGGGCGGUCUCCUCCCAAAGCGUAACGGAGGAGCACGAAGGUUAGCUAAUCCUGGUCGGACAUCAGGAGGUUAGUGCAAUGGCAUAAGCUAGCUUGACUGCGAGCGUGACGGCGCGAGCAGGUGCGAAAGCAGGUCAUAGUGAUCCGGUGGUUCUGAAUGGAAGGGCCAUCGCUCAACGGAUAAAAGGUACUCCGGGGAUAACAGGCUGAUACCGCCCAAGAGUUCAUAUCGACGGCGGUGUUUGGCACCUCGAUGUCGGCUCAUCACAUCCUGGGGCUGAAGUAGGUCCCAAGGGUAUGGCUGUUCGCCAUUUAAAGUGGUACGCGAGCUGGGUUUAGAACGUCGUGAGACAGUUCGGUCCCUAUCUGCCGUGGGCGCUGGAGAAUUGAGGGGGGCUGCUCCUAGUACGAGAGGACCGGAGUGGACGCAUCACUGGUGUUCGGGUUGUCAUGCCAAUGGCACUGCCCGGUAGCUAAAUGCGGAAGAGAUAAGUGCUGAAAGCAUCUAAGCACGAAACUUGCCCCGAGAUGAGUUCUCCCUGAGACUUUAAGUCUCCUGAAGGAACGUUGAAGACGACGACGUUGAUAGGCCGGGUGUGUAAGCGCAGCGAUGCGUUGAGCUAACCGGUACUAAUGAACCGUGAGGCUUAACCU
rnacentral:rRNA from 1 species